rnacentral:rRNA from 1 species
UACGGGGGGGGCAAGCGUUGUUCGGAAUUACUGGGCGUAAAGGGCGCGUAGGCGGCCUUCUAAGUCGGACGUGAAAUCCCUCGGCUCAACCGAGGAACUGCGUCCGAUACUGAAAGGCUUGAAUCCGGGAGAGGGAUGUGGAAUUCCAGGUGUAGCGGUGAAAUGCGUAGAUAUCUGGAGGAACACCGGUGGCGAAGGCGGAUCUCUGGGCCAUUACUGACGCUGAGGAGCGAAAGCGUGGGGAGCGAACAGG